UUCUUAUCUUUGGCUCAGACGAAAUUUUCUCCAACACGUGUCUUUGAACUAAUCAAAUAAUAGCUCCCUAUACUGUUUUUGGUCCUAAUCUCUGUUAUUCUUUAGAUGGAUUCAAGAUUUUGGGAAACAAGGAAUAUAUAAUCUUCUAAUGAAAGGGAACUACGUACGGUCAUCAUUAAACCAUGGAAGUUGAAUUUCAUGCCUC
rnacentral:lncRNA from 1 species